CAACUGGCUUUUUUCAAAGCCACCCAAAAACAAAAUUAAAAGCUCU
rfam:Amphimedon queenslandica AMPQTscaffold_13369_Cont3985, whole genome shotgun sequence.